GACGAACGCUGGCGGCGUGCCUAAUACAUGCAAGUCGAACGAAGAGAGGCGGAGCUUGCUCCUCUUACGUUAUCGUGGGACGGGUGAGUAACACGCGUAUACACUCUCUCUUUGACUGGGAUAACUUAGUUGGAAAGGAGCUCAUAUAGCGCAUUCUAUUUAACCGCGUCAUUCAGUAGAGAUAGACGGUUGUGCUGACACUUAAGCAUGGAUUGGCGUCUGAUUAGCUAGUUGGUGAGGUAACGGGCUACCAAGGCGACGAUCAGUAGCCGGUCUGAGAGGAUGAACGGCCACAGUGGGACUGAGACACGGCCCAGACUGCUACGGGAGGCAGCAGGGGGGAAUCUUCCGCAAUGGACGAAAGGCUGACGGAGCAACGCCGCGUGAGUGAUGACGGCCUUCGGGUUGUAAAGCUCUGUUAAUCGGGACGAAAGGACUUCUUGCGAAUAGUGAGAAGGAUUGACGGUACCGGAAUAGAAAGCCACGGCUAACUACGUG
rnacentral:rRNA from 1 species